UAUAAUAGGAUGACAGAGUGUGAACUGAUCAAGAUUGCAGCAACACCAAAAAAUGCAAGUAUUUUUAAGUUGUAACCUUUAAGCUUAACAGUUAAGACUUGGAAGAUCAAAACUUGAAGUACACUAAUUUCAAAGCCUUAAUUUAAGCGCACACACGUUUGCGAGCACACAAAAUCUUGCAAAAUGCAAUGAAAAGGCACAAAUUCUAACUUCUAGGCAGUUUCCAGCUCAAUUUACCUUGAUAAACAAUAUUCAUAUGGAGUACGGAGUACUAUAUUAUAGUAUUAUACUAAGGAACUACAGAGGUAUACUAUAGAAUUAUCAUAUUUAUCUAUAUAUAUAUAUCAUGGUAUAAAUUCAUAUAUAAUGCUCAAAAUCAAAAAAAAAAAAAAAAAUGUAUGCAUCAUCGUAUAAUACUAGUACUGCAAAACAAACACAAGGACUACCAUACCCUGCAGCACCGAUGAACAAUAUUGCAGCAGGGCAGCCAUAUUCAUCGCAUUAUAAUGCUUCGUCUGUCGUCGUCCAUGGGACGGGUCCAUGGUCUACCGGACUAUGCCACUGCUGUGAUGACCCUGCCAACUGCUUGGUUACGGCCUUUUGUCCUUGCAUCACCUUUGGCCAAAUUGCCGAGCUUGUUAAUCAGGGUGACCCUGGUUGUGCAGGAAGUGGAACAAUAUACGCGUUGCUAAUGGGAUUCUCGGGUUUAGCAUGCUUAUAUUCAUGCUUCUAUCGGUCAAGGUUAAGAGGGCAAUAUGGGUUGGAUGAGUCACCUUCUGCUGAUUGUUUGGUUCACUUCUGUUGUGAACCUUGUGCACUUUGCCAAGAGUACCGCGAACUCAAGAACCGUGGUUUUGACAUGGGCAUAGGUUGGGAGGCUAACAUGGAGAGGAAGAGGGCAACAGUGGUUACAGUGGCUCCUCCUGUCGGCAUUAUGAUGCGCUAAUCGAUUAGCAGCCACAUGUUGCAAUUAGUUAAGAUUUUGGCUGAAUUAUCCUGUGAAAAUAGCCUUGUUCAACUUAAUCCGAUCCUUAAUAUUAGUAUGUGUCACUUUUAAUUUUGUUGUAAUUCACCAUCAAAUAUAGUUCAUAUGCUAGAUGAAUAACAUUUUAUAUUUUAUAUUUAUUCAAAGUAUGUGCAUCUAGAAUAUAUUCAAUGGAACAAAAUAUACUCCGUAUAUACCUCGUGUUUAAGUAUUUUUAAAAAUUAUAGUGAUGACUCCCGAUCCUUUUUAGUACGUAUAUCGUUUUGAAAUUUUUACGGUACAAGCGUCUUUAUAAUGGUUGGUACAGUAAAAAAACGUGGAAAGAACAUGUAGUUGUUUUGUAAAGGACAUACAACUGUUUUGUAAAGAAUAUCCAGCUUUAUGUUUUUUUCGUAUAUUUGAAGAACAUCUGUAAUAUUAAUAAAUAACAUGGUAAUAUUAUGUACAGAACAUUAUUUAUAUAUAUCCACCAUAAUUUAAAGAAAAAAUUCACCAUUGAAAUUUUACAACUUAUUAUCAUAAAGUAGUACGUAACAAAAAAACUACUAUAUCAAAAAAACUUGAAAAUAACAUACCGGCUUAACUUAUUAUCAUGUAGUAGUACGUUAAGAAAACCAAGUACUAAACUUCAAAGUGGUAGUCAUCAUGGUGGUAAAUUCAGCUAAAUUAAUGAAGCCAUCACCAUCAUUAUCAACCUCCUUAAUCAUUUUCUUACAAGACUCUAAGCUAUACAUUUGCCCCAUCCUCCUUAACACUUCCAUCAACUCCUUAGCACUUAUCUUGCCAUCACCAUCAGAAUCGAAAAUCCGAAACGCGCUCUCUAUAUCCUUAGACACUACUAGAAAUAGGCAAAAUAGUGACGGUUUACUUCCGACGGACGGUUUUUCCGUCGCAAAAUUCAAAAAUUACGACGGAUUUUAUCUACGACGAAAAUUCCGUAGUAAUCUUGCGACGGAAUUUUUUUCCCUCGUAAUUUUCUUUUUACGACGGAAUAUUUCGUCGAAAAUAUGUUUGCGACGGAAUAUUCCGUCGUAAAAUGAAAAUUACUAGGGAAAAAAAUUUCGUCGUAAGAUUAUACGUUUUUUAAAAAAUACCCAAAUUGGACUAAACCUAAAAAAUCGAAUUGGAAACAGAAGAAAGAGAAGGAGAGAGAAAGAGAGAGGGAAAGAGAAAAAGGGGCAUCUGUCGCCGGCCGUCCCGAUUUCGGCGCCGGUCUUCACCAAUCUGCCGCCGACGAAGACCAAAACGAAAGGAGGACGAAAAGGAGAAAGAGGACGAAAAGGAGAAAGCGAAACAGGACGAAAAGGAGAAAGAGAAAGAGGUCGAGCCUCCGUUUUCCGGCGACCCUCCGUUGACGCUUCUGGUUGUUGCCGGCGCCGCGUCUAGUUAAGUUGUUUUUGUUUUUUGUUGUUUUUUUUUAUUCGGUUUUUUUUACAACACAUUCAAAUCUGCAGCCUUCCUUGACACCACAACCGCAGCCUCUCUUGACCACCGCAGCCUCCGGCCUCCUCCCUUCCCUCGCCGUGGCUGAAGCAGUUGGAUUUGUACAAUUUGUCAAAAACAAGUGCAGAUCUAAAGGACACCUACCAGAAGAAGCUCGAAGAAACAAUGAGUCAGGGGAUUCAGAAGAGUCUCAAUGAGUUGUACUGGGAGUCGGUGGGUGGGCGCAAUAAGAAGGGGCGUGUGAAGGGACUUGGCCAAAGUGCAGAGUUCUACUAUGGCAAACAGGGUCGAGGUUCCCGUUCUUCACAGCAAUACACGCCGUCUGUCAUUUCUCAAAUGCAAGACCAGAUGGAACACAGGGUGCAAACUCUUCAAACUCAAAUGGAAGCCCGAAUGGAUGAAAUGGAGAGGAGAUACAAGGAGAGUUUCGAUGAGAUGAUGAGUCGUCUCAACAACAACGACUCAUGUUCCACCAUUCAUCCUCAGCAUCGAGACCCUAGGAACGACCCGGGUGGUGGUGGAGCAGGCCAGGGUUUCCAGGCGAUUGCGUAGCUUAGCUUUAGUCUAGCAUAGAAUCACUCUAACCUAGCUUUUGUUUGGUAUAGAUACCAAAAUGUGGACUAUCUUUUGUACUAGGACAUAAUUAUUAUAUAUAUAUGUACAUAACCCUAAUUUCGUAGGUCGGUAAUUAAUUUUUUAAAAACAACAAUUUUAGGACUCAAUAUUUAUUUAUUUUUUUGUCGAUUUACCAUUAAAAAAAUUCAGGUUUGAAAAUGCAGAAAAAUACAAAAAUUUGUUUUGGGCUGGAAAUACAAUUUGCGACGGAAUAUUUCGUCGUAAUUUACAUAUUUGCGACGGAAUAUUUCGUCGUAAUUUACAUAUUUGCGACGGAAUUUUCCCUCGCAAAUUAUAAUUUGCGACGGAAUUUUCCCUUGCAAAAUAUGAUUUAUGACGGAAUUAUUCAUCGUACAAAUAUACAUUGCGACGGAAAAUUCCGUCGUAAAUUAUAAUUUGCGAGGGAAAAUUCCGUCGCAAAUCAUAUUUUGCAAGGGAAAAUUCCGUCGCAAAUUAUAAUUUGCGAGGGAAAAUUCCGUCGCAAAUAUGUAAAUUACGACGAAAUAUUUCGUCGCAAAUUAUAUUUUGCGAGGGAACUCUUUCCAUCGCAAAUUUGCGACGGAACUUCAUCAAAGGCCAAUUCCAAGUCCGACGAUAUUAUUUCCGUCGUAAAUUCCGUCGUAAAGUUGGUUUACGACGGAAUUUCCGUCGUAAAAUGGCCAUUUUCCUACAAAGGGUUUUCCGACAACCAUUUACGACGGAAUUCCGUCGUAAACCAACUUUACGACGGAAUUUACAUAGUUUACGACGAAAUUUUUCCGUCGCAAUUAAGGUGUUUUCUAGUAGUGAGAAUUCACCUU